rnacentral:rRNA from 1 species
CAGCAGCCGCGGUAAUACGAAGGGGGCUAGCGUUACUCGGAAUUACUGGGCGUAAAGGGCGCGUAGGCGGCACGAUUAGUCAGGCGUGAAAUUCCUGGGCUCAACCUGGGGACUGCGCUUGAUACGGUCGAGCUAGAGGAUGGAAGAGGGUUGUGGAAUUCCCAGUGUAGAGGUGAAAUUCGUAGAUAUUGGGAAGAACACCGGUGGCGAAGGCGGCAACCUGGUCCAUUACUGACGCUGAGGCGCGACAGCGUGUGGAGCAAACAGGAUUAGAUACCCCCGUAGUCCCUGUCUCUUAUAC